rnacentral:lncRNA from 1 species
CUUUAGGACGCCUGAGGUGAGACGCGAGGAGUUCGGUCCGAGUGCGGUGCGGCUGGGCGCUCUUCUUGCCUGGAAGAUCGCAGUUUCUGGGUCAUCACUUUACGCUACUUUCCCCUCCCCCCCAUCUUUCAAAGAGGGAUUUGCAGUAGAUUCUUUAGGCUUAUGAGAUUUAGUAUGUAAGACCGUAGUGCUCACACGUACUUUGUUGCUUAUGUUGCUGUUUGGCAACAUGAAUAUAUUUGCCAUUUAUGAAUACAUUUCUCUCUCUACUCCAAGCUAUUGAAUGCAUAUUUGCAAACGCAAUGACAGAUAAGCGUCUUGUGUCAAAAAACUCAUCAAAGUUUGCAAAAGGGCAAACAGUACCAUGGGAAAUCGGGAGCGUCUCAGUAAGAGAAAACACUAUAUAAUAGGGUACUGGCUUUUGCUGAAUGAGUCUAAGAAAGGGAUAGGGGAAGCUGGAAUCAGCUUUGAGCUGGGUAUCACAGAUGUUUAUACAGGAGUGGGAAGGAAUUGGGCUGUGGAAAUUAUUGUAAAGAAAGCAGCUAUCAUUCAAAAGGAGAAAAGUGUGUUGUGUCUUCACCAUGUUCCAUCAGGAACACUGUUCCAUUAAUAACACCGUUUAGGGUUCUGUUAGGAACAAUACAAUCUUGACUCCUAGCCAACUUAAGGUUCUGUUUCUGUGGAAACUACAAGUUAAAAAAAUGUAAAACGCUGUGUCCUCAAACUCGUUAUAUGAAGUUUUUCACCUGGGUUGUAAAUCCAGCCUGCUUCUUUGAAUGUAAUGACUCCUCUUGCAUCCUUUAGUGAAGAGUAGGAUGUUACAUUCUCGUUGAUUUAGCUUCAAACAGCAACAUUGCUCACAUACUGAUAAUAGACAGGUUUAUUAGUACUAUCGCCUUCAGUAAGUUUGCAAAAGCGAUUUUUGGCCAGAUUCGGUGACUCACGCCUGUAAUCCCAGCACUUUCAGAGGUCAUGGUGCAUGGAUGGCUUGAACCCAGGAGUUGGAGACCAGCCUGGGCAACAUAGCAAGACCCUGUCUCUCCAAAAAAGAUUGAGGUAAAAUGAUGAAGUAGUUUGUAGGCUAUGCAUAGAAUUUAGGCUUUGUAUUGUAGGCAAUAGGGAGUCACUUAAGCUUUAUGAAUUGAAGAUAAGAGACUAGAACAUACGUGUUUUAGAAAGAAUGCUGUAGAAAGGUGGAGACUGAAUUACAGUCUUGAAUUACAGAUAUGUGCCACAUAAGGAAGUUUAGGUAAAGAAUGGACUGGAUAUUUGGCAAUGGUCCCAUAAGAUUAUAACAGAACUGAAAAAUUCCUAUCACCUAGCGACAUUGUAGUAAACGUAAAGUUGUAGAGCAACACCACUCGUGUUUGUGGCUACAUAGGUGUAAACCUACUGUGCUUCCAGUCUCAUAAAAGUCUAGCACAUACAAUUAUGUACAGGAUAUAAUACUUGAUAAUAAAUGACUAUGUUACUGGUAUAUGUAUUUGCUAUAUUAUACUCUUUAUCAUUAUUUUAGAGUGUAUUCAUUCUAUUUCUAUUUUUAUUUUUAUUUAUUUGUUUAUUUUUUUGAGACAGAGUCUCGCACUGUCACCCAGGCUGGAGUGCAAUGGCACAAUCUUGGCUCACUGCAACCUCUGCCUCCUGAGUUCAAGCAAUUCUCCUGCCUCAGCCUCCUGAGUAGCUGGGAUUACAGGCAGCUGCCACCACGCCCGUCUAAUUUUGUUUUAUUUUUAGUAGAGACGGGGUUUCACUUAUUAGCCACGCUGGUCUCGAACUCCUGACCUCGUGAUCUGCCUGCCUCGGCCUCCCAAAGUGCUGGGAUUAUAGGCGUGAGCCACCAUGCUUGGCCCUAUUUAUAUUUUUAAAAGUUAACUAUAAAACAGCCUCAAGGAGGUCUUUCAGGAGGUAUUCCAGAAGAAGGCAUUGUUAUUAUAGAUGAGAGCUCCAUGUGCAUUAUUGCCCUGAUGAACUUCCAGUGGGAUAAGAUGUGAAAGUGAAAGACAGGGAGAUUGAUAAUCCUGACCUUGUGUAGGCCUAGGCUAACAUGUGUGUUUGUGUCUUCAUUUUAACAAAAAAAUUUGAAUAGGAAAAAAAUUAAAAAUAGAUUUUAAAAUAAAAAAACUUAUAGAAUAAGGAUAUAAAGAAACAAAAUAUUUUUGGACAGCUCUCCAAUGUGUGUUUUAACCUUAACGUUGUUACUAGAGUCAAAAAGUUUUUUUUUUUUCUGAGACAGAGUCUCACUCUGUUGUCCAGGCUGGAAUGCAGUGUCGCAAUCUUGGCUGACUGCAAACUCUACCUCCCAGAUUCAAGCAAUUCUCCUGCCUCGGCCUCCCGAGUAGCUGGGACUACAGGCGCAUGCCACCACACCCGGCUAAUUUUUUGUGUUUUUAGUAGAGACGGGGUUUCACUGUGUUAGCCAGGAUGGUCUCGAUCUCCGGACCCCAUGGUCCCCCCUCCUCAGCCUCCUAUAGUGCUGGGAUUACAGGCGUGAGCCACCACUCCCGGCCAAAAAGUUUUUUAAAAAUUUAAAUAUAAAGUAAGAAAGCUACAGGAAAUUAAAUUUACUAUUGAAGAAAAAAAACAUCGUUUUAUAAAUUUAGUGUAGCCUAACUCUACAUUGUUUAUAAAAUCUACAGUAGUGUACAGUAAUGUCCUAGGUCUUCACAUUCACUCACCACUCAUUCACUGACUUACCCAGAGCACCCUCCAGUCCUGCAAGCUCCUUUCAUGGCUGUUUUGGCUAUCCUGGAUACCUUGCAUUUCCAUGUGAAUUUUAGGAUCAGCUUGACCAUUUCUGGAAAAAAAAAGGCCAUUGAAAUUUUAUAGUAAUUAUGCUGAAUAUAUCGAUCAAUUGGUGAGUAUUACCAUCUGAACUAUAUUAAGUCGAUCAGUCCAUGAACACAGGAUGUCUUUCCACUUAUUUAGCUCUUAAUUUCUUUCAGCAAUGUUUUGCAGUUUUCAGCACAUAAGUCUUGAACCUUUUUGGUUAAAUUUAUUCCUAAGUAUCUUUUUGAUGCUAUUGUAAAGGGAAUUGUUUUCUUAAUUUCAUAUUUGCAUUGUUCUUUGCUAAUGUACAAGAACACAACAGGUUUUGCAAAACCACAAUGAGGUACCAUCUCACACCAGUCAGAAUGGCUAUUAUUAAAAGUUUAAAAAAUAACAGAUGCUGGUAAGGCUAUGGAGAAAAGGGAACAUUGAUACACUGUUGGUGGGAAUUUAAAUUAGUUCAGCCAGUAUGGAAAGCAGUUUGAAGAUUUCUCAAAGAACUUAAAACAGAACUACUGUUCAACCCAGCAUUCCCAUUACUUGCAUGUAUACUGAAAGGAAAUUAAAUUUUUCUACCAAAAAAGACACAUGCACUUGUAUUUUCACCACAGCACUAUUCACAAUGGCAAAGACAUGGAAUCAACCUAGGUGCUCAUCGAUGGUGUAUUGGAUAAAUAAAAUGUGAUACAUACACACCAUGGAAUACUAGGCAUCCACAAUAAAGAAUGAAAUCACAUUCUUUGCGGCAACAUGGAUGCAGCUGGAGGCCAUUAUCCUAAGCAAAUUAAUGCAGGAACAGAAAACCAAAUACCAUAUGUUCUCAUUUAUCAGUGGGAGCUAAACAUUUGAGUGCACAUGGACAGAAAGAUGGGAAAAAUAGACACUAGGUUCUAUUAGUCAGGAGAGGGAGGGGUGAAAAGCUACCUAUUGGGUUCUAUGCUUAGUGGGUGAUGGGAUCACUCAUACCCCAAACUUCAAUGUCACUCAAUAUACCCAAAUAACAAACCUGCACAUGUACCCCUUAAUCUAAGAAAAAAGUUGAAGUUAUUUUAAAAACAACAAAAUGCAAAACAAAAAGCAAAGCAAAACAAAAUGAAAAUACUCAUAUGUCAAAGAUCAUGGUGCCCAAAACAAUCCAUAAAGCCAGUACUUCUAGACUUGCAAAUAAUUCAUUGCUCAAUUAAACUGUGUUUAAAAAAUAAAAAUAAAGCCAGGACUGGGUUAAUAAGCAAAACAAACAAAGACAAAAAACAACUGAGUUUUAAAUGUCAGUCUUGUAUUCUGCAACUUUGCUGAACUAGCUUAUUAGCUAUAAGAGUUGUGUGUGUGUGUCUGUGUGUGUGUGUGUGUGUAAGGAUUUUCUAUAUGUAAGAUUAUAUAUAGUUAGUUUUACUUCCUUUCCAAUUUGAGUGACAUUUAUUCCUUUUUCAUGUUAUUUGCUCUGGCUAGAACCUCCACAGCAAUAUUUAAUACAAGACAUCCUUGUCUUGUUCCUAAUUUUGGAGAAGAGCUUUCAGUCUUUCACCAUUAAGCAUGAGGUUUGUGUGUUUUUCAUGGAUGCCAUUUAUCAGAUUAAGGGAGUCCCCUUCUAUUUUUAGUUUGCUGAGGGCUUUUUUAAAUAAAAGUGUAUUGGAUUCUGUUACUUUUCUGUGUUUGUUGAGAUAACUAUUGGGUUUUUUGCUUUAGUCUAUUAAAUGGUGUUUACACUGAUUUUCCUUAUAUUGAACUAACUUUACAUACGUGGGCUAAAUCUCAUUUGGUAAUGUACAAUUCUUUUUAGAUGUUGCUGGAUUUCGUUAGUUAGUGUUUUGUUGAGGAUUUUAACAUCUAUCUUUGUAAUGCCACUAAUCUGUAGUUUUCUUUUCUUUUGACGUCUUUGUCUGGCUUUGGUAUCAGAGUAAUAUGGGCCUCAUAGAAUUAGUUAGAAAGUUUACUCUCCUCUUUUUGUUGAGAAAAACUGAUGUUAAUUCCUAGAAUUUGCCAGUGAAAUGGUCUGUUCCAGGGCUUUUUAUCUGUUAGAAGUUGUUCGAUGGCUAAUUCAGUCUCUUUACUUACUAUUUAUCUAUUUGGAUUUCCUUUCUUGAGUCAGUUUUGGUAGUUUGUGCAUUUCUAGGAAUUUGUUUCAUCUAGAUUCCUAGUUUGUUGGCAUAUAAUCUAGAUUACCUAGUUUGUUGGCAUAUAAUCAUUCAGUGUACUUCUUUCUAAUCCUUUUAGUUUUUGUGAGGUUGGUAGAAAUAUCCUCUCUUUCAUUCUUGAUUUUAGUUAUUGGAAUCAUUUUCUUUUUUUUUUCUUAAAAGUUCAUCAGUUUUGUUGAUCUUUUCAAAAAACCAACUUUUGGUUUUGUUGAUUCUUCUGCAUUAUUUUUCUAUUUCCUAUUUCUUUUAUUUCCACUCUCCUCUUUAUUAUUCCCUUCCUUCUGCUUGCUUUGGCUUAAGAUUUCUCUUCUUUUACUAGUUUCCAGAGUUUUUUGUUGCUGUUUGUAGUAAUUGUUUGUUUGUUUGUUUGUUUGUUUAGUGACUUUUCUGCACAAAAGUCACAAGUAAAUUCUUUCAUGUGUGUGGCCACUGAAAUCUCUGUUCUGUUAGCCUAAUGAUCAGAUAAUGAUUACGCAGAGAUUCCCUUAAAUGUCUGAAUAAUUCCACAGUCCUUGCUGAGUGAUUGUGUGUGUGUGUGUGUGUGCGUGUGUGUGUGUUGGGACACACCUGCAACACAGGCAGUUUACAACUCUGCUUUAGCCUUUACUUCCUCCUUGCACAGAGCCUAUAGGUUAGCCAUGGGUGAGAGCUUGGGGUCUCUCGGGUCUUUGUUGAGCGUGUACAUCAACCUAUGCAUGUGUUUGACAUUCUAGAUUCCAAAGAACAUGUUGGAGUUUUCAAGUCUCCAAUGAUAUCUUAUUCCCCAGCAUUUCCAUGUUUUUUGGUUGAUCUAUUGUUUACCCCAAGUAUUAACCAUCAACUCAGCCAGCAGCAACUAAACAGUUUGCCUGUUAAGAAUUUUUGACAAAUGCCUCCUUCCUAUUGGUAGUGACUUUAUCACUAGAUGAGUUCUGAGUUAGGCAAAAUAAAGACAAGUCUUUCAGUGGAUUCUUCCACAGUUCUUCUGUCUUAAACAAACAGGCUAAGUAUGGCUGUUCUUUCGAAAUGAGGCUUUGAAAGUGCUGCAGCCUUGUUUCUGCCACUGAUCUGGGGAGUGAAGAUGUGCCUAGGGUAUGCUAAAACACCACAAAACUCACUAUUCUUACUAAUAUUUAGCCACUUUCAUUGAGUAAGUCAUCCCCAGGUUUCUGCAAGUCUUUUGUUAAUAUAUAGAGUUUUGAAACAAUUGAUUCUGAUAGAGUUUGCUAGGUUUUCCUUUUGAAAAUUUUCUCUUUAACUUCUUGAAAAUAUGGAAUAGAGUUAUGAUAAAUGUUUUUAUAUUCUUAUCUACUAAUUCUAUUAUUUGUGUUAUUUCUGAUUAUCUUUAAAUUGAUCAACUUUUAUUCCUUUUAUUGUACAUACUUUUCUACUUCUUUGUGUGCCUGUUAAUUUUCCAUUUGAUAGUCACAUUGUGAAUUUUACCUUUUUGAGUGCUGGAUAUUAUUGUUUUCCUAAAAAUAUCCUUGAGAUUUGUUUUGGGACAUGGCUAAGUUACUUAGAACUGUUAGGAAAUCGUUUGGUCCAUUUCAGACUUGUUUUUAUUCAUCUUUAGGUAGGAUUAGAGCAGGGCUUUUUUCUAAGGUCAACUUUCCCUAUUACGGAAGUAAGAACUUUCUUAGUAUUCUAAACUUUACUUCAUGAAUUAUGGUGUUUUCUCUUCUAGUUGUGGGUACAGACAAUACGUCUUUCCCUACAUGUGCCUCAGACACUGUUCUCUAACCUUUCAGGUAUCUCUUUCCCUAGGCUCACAUAAUUUCCUCAGAUACUUGUGCUGAUCAAUACUCAGCUGAAUCCUCCAGGGGAACACUUCCAGAGUUCUCUUACUGUGCAGAGAUCUCCAGAGUUCUCUUUCUGUGUAGCUCUCUCCUCUUGGUUCUUUGCCUUGCAAACUUAGCCACCUUGGCUUUCCUGGACUCCCAGUUCUGUCCUCUCAACAGUGAGACAGUGGGUCUCUGUCUGAGUUCCUUUGCCCUAUACUACAACAUGGAAACUUUCUGUAGACAUUAAUCUAAGACAACCGUAGGGCUCGUUUUUUUGUUCCUCAUCACUUAGGAAACUCUGUCCUUCACUGCUGAAUGUCCAGUGUUUUCAAAGAUGUUGUUUCAUACAUUUUGUCCCAUUCCUUAGUUAAGUCAAGAGGGUAAAUCAAAUCCCUAUGAAUGAUCUCAGCUGGAUUUAAAGAAUGGUUGGCCCCUUCCAAUACAAUUCAGUAAAAUCUCAUUACCCAAAUUCUGUCUAAUGCUGAAAAAUGUGUUGCUGUGGUUGGUGAAAAAGCAAUACAUUUUCUUCUGCCAGUUGUUACAACUUGUUUGCUCUCUAUAAAGGGUGAGUAUUAAAUUUUCAGAGAGAUCUUUAUUAAAAAGUCAUUAUCAGCAAUUAUUUAUAACUGUGUUAAGCAUAAAACCUGAUUGAAAAAUACUGUGUUCAUGGAAUCAAGUUCAAAAUUCUCAGGAAAUAAAAAUAAAAAGAUGUUAUUUGGAAGUUUCAUAUAAAUUGAAGGUUAAUGUCUUUCUUAAUAUUUUGUAUUUCAUUUUUCUUGUCUGAAUUAUGUAAAAGGAAAUUGAAAACAUUUGUAAGCCCGUAGAUGAGAAGUCAGUCAAAAUCUUGGAGGAUCUUGGUGCUAGAAGUAGAAACUGAAGAAAUGUAGAUCAGCAUGAGCGAGCGCGUGUAUAUUACUAAAGGGUACCCAGAAAGUUUGUAUAUGCAUGUGUUUGUGUAUAAAUUUUUUUGCUCAGAUUAUGUAAUAAAAGCAAAAAUAAGGUCAGAUUUGAUUCAGAAAGAAGAUAAUUUUAUAGAAAUAAUUACUUGCCAUCUUGUGGCAUACUGACUGCAAAAAUAACCUUAAUUCUCUACUUCCUUAUUCUACUUCCUUUCUAAUCUGAUUGAGCUUUGUGUUCACUUAUUGCACAUCAUGGUAGCUAUUGCUAAUGGAUACACAUCUGCCGUAAUGCAUCGGAGAAAGGAUGUGGCCUUGUUUUGUUCCCUGUACCCUCAGGAAUGAUGACAAGGCUCUCAGAGAUGUUGGAUAUAUGUUCCAAGAUGGGUUUCAUGCUCCUGAGCAAAGGUGUUGCCACACAUUUUGCCUCAUGCAGGAGAAAAUGUGUGUCAGAUCAGGUUUCUUAGCUCAUGAGUUGGGCCUCCAUUGACAAGGCAAGCAAUACAGGAUGUCUAAGGGUUUAAUAAGCUUUCAUUCAUAAUUUUAGCCAGAUAGUUGAAAAUAUAAUCAGAUAGAAUAAAAGCCUUCCUACAGGAAAGUGGAAUAUGCUCACAUCACCCACUUCUUACAGAAAAUGUACAGUCUAAGAGGGUGAAAGGGGCAUUUAGAUUGUUAAUGUGAUUUGGGAUUUUAGUCAGCCAUCUGGUUAUAAGGAGAGAUGGGGAAACUGACUUGAAGAUACAUUUGCAUAGCAGGCUAAUUAUUUUUAAUUAAAUUUUACGUUUAUUUCAGUCAUUUUAGGCUUGAUGAAGUUGGGGGAAAUGCUAAAGUCACCACUUGCAAGACUAACUUUAACCAGAUUGUCCCCCUCCACACAAACACUGAAGUAGAAUAAAGGCUUAUCACAGAAAGAGUAAGAGGACAAUUGAUUAAAUGAGCAAGGUGCAGUGUUCACAAGUAGAAAUGAAGGAACAAGCGCCUGUUGCAGAGAUAAGAUGAUUUAACUGCUAAUGGUGAAGCAAUAGUCUUUGUGUAAUCAAAAGCUAGCAUGAAUGAUUAUUGAUUUAAAUAUUUUAUUAAAAUCUAAUUUUACCAAACCUGUCCACCAUGGUUUACAUCUUAUCAUAUUUGCGUUUAUUAUAGGAAGGUUCAUUCUGAGCAACAUAAAACAUCAUUUAUAUGCUGCCAUUUCAAUUUAGUCACUAUUCUUUUAAAUUAAAACAAGAGUUUUUGAUUUUGAAAGACAAAAAAGCCAGACAGUAAAGUCUGAAAAAUUUAUAUCAGAACUGAGAUGUUCUUAAGAUUUCUUUAGACAAGAAUCAUAAAAAUGCAGAUGGUAAGAAUAUAUAAUGAGAUUUAGGGAAUUUCAAUUUUAAUAACAGAGUAAAGCGCUGUCUCUUGACUGUAAAUUAAUAAAGGAAGUUUUCCUGGGAUCAUAAACUGUGAAAUUAUAGCCUCAGAGGCUUUCCAAUGACAACUAACACUAAGAUUAAAUAAGGGCU